CUGUACCUCAAGCCCGGCUUGUGUGUUGGGCCCUACCGUCCCUCUGGACGGUGACCCGAAAGGCAGUGGCGGCGUCGCGUCCCGGUCCUUGAAGCGUAUGGGGCUUUGUCACCCGCUUGGAGGCCGGCCGACCCCGUAGCCCAUCGUGGAUCUUCCACAUUUAUUCU
rnacentral:misc_RNA from 1 species